UACGGAGGGUGCAAGCGUUAUCCGGAUUCACUGGGUUUAAAGGGUGCGUAGGUGGUUUUGUAAGUCAGUGGUGAAAGCCCGGAGCUCAACUCCGGAACUGCCAUUGAUACUGCUUAACUUGAAUCAACUUGAGGUGGAUGGAAUAUUACAUGUAGCGGUGAAAUGCGCAGAUAUCGGGAGGAACACCGGUGGCGAAGGCGGUUCUCUGGGCCUUACCUGACGCUGAGGAGCGAAAGCGUGGGGAGCGAACAGG
rnacentral:rRNA from 1 species